rnacentral:lncRNA from 1 species
CUGGGAUUGAGUCCUGCUUGCCUCUGUCAGGGGAUGUCCUUAGGCAAGUCCCUUAACAUGCAUGUGCCUCAGUUUUGUCACCUGUAGCCCAGUGCCUCAUGGUGCCAAGGAGGUCACAAGCAUGAAGCCCCUGGCAGGGUGUGCCGGGCACGUGUGCACAUGCCCCCUGGAGGGGAUUCAUCAUCGCGGGCGGAGCUCUGCAGUUCCAGCCUCCUGAGGGUCCUGAUGCCUCACGAGGCCAAGAGGCAAAGGGUUUUGUAACUUACAUAACCGCAGAGAAAGGCAAGGUUGCUGCUCACAAUGAUGCUUUCACAGGGCGGCUCUGGGACGGCAUCCUCACCCGACUAUAUGGAAUUCCACAUCCUUUCCGAAUCUUGGUGUUACACAAUAGUCACUGAGAUAUCAUGUACCCCAUUAACGUUGAGACUUUUAUGUAUUUACAAUUCAGCUUAAAUUUUUACCCAGAGAAGUUUUCAAAAUGUAACAUGUGUUAGUCACUGUGUGAAUUGCGAAACCAAGGAAAUAUCUCCAAAGUGCUGGCCUUGACAAUGUAAUCUGGCAAGGCUUGGGGAGGAAUAAAAAUAACACUUCUCAGCAUCGCCGUCUCUGAGGGCAGGAGUGAUCUGGAGCCCUCCCCAAGCCCACAGAAGACAUGGCUGUGGAGUGUCGGUGCACCAGGGUCUGCCGGGUCCCCGCCUCCCCAUCCUUCCAAGAGGCACCAGCUGCAAGGCACGUGCAUGUGCCCUCCUGACCCCCCGGUCCCCAAAGAGCCUGCUCCCGUCACUCCAGGCAGGCACUGUUGCUGGGAUUUCAAGGCAGCUGAGUGCAGAGCCCACUGCAGAGGCAUCAGCCCCUCCCAGGCCUCUAGGAAACCUGCUCCUCCCCUCCCUCCACAGGCAUCUGCUUACAGCGCCAGCGGUGCCUCGUGCUCCACCUGGAGCACCACUGUCUGUCAGGGACACGGGCUCCCAGAGGGCUGCACGUGAAUGAUUUCCGACCCUCACAACAGCCAGGAAGUAGGGACUGGGAUUGUUCCCAUUCUGUAGAUGAGAAGACUGAGGCUUGGGAUAACGUGCUUGCCCAAGUUGGCAUGGGCAGUACAAGACAAAGCUGGGGUUGCAAAUGAUCACGCUUCCUAUUCUGAAUAUUUCUUUUUCUGCCACCUUCUCCUCUGAGUGCUGGCUUUCCCUACUUACCAAGCCCCCAGCUGCUCACUGCGGUGCCAGAGCACCCAAGAGCCUCCUCUGGCAGUGCCAUGGCCCACAGCACACUCCCCUUGGCUCUAUCAGGCCUCCCUUUUGGCUUGAGUGCCACCCACUCACUCCUCUCCUGCUUUCUGGCAUCGUUAUUUAAUUGUCCAACCCUGGUCUGCUCAGUUAGACCGUAAACUCUGAGAGGACGAGGAGUCUUCGCCGGCUGCCCCCCGGGCCUGGCCUGGGGCUGCCACGUAGCUGAAUCUCAGCCACACUUGCUGUAGAAUGAUUUGUUAUUAUUCUCUGAGGCUGGGUUUCCACGUGGCUGGGCACAGGAGGACAGAGUCCCCCUCCCCGUCCAGGUCCUUGGCUGGCCAGCAUUUCAAAUGAUAUUGUUUCAUAUUAAAUUAUUUUAAAUUCCAUGGACCCUGGUUUCACAAUCAAAUAAUUCGAUCUUGUUUACAAAUGGAAUUUUUAGUUUUUGACGGUUUCUUGCUUUGCUGGGCUGGACGGUCAGUGAAUGCGUGUCCUCCCGUGCCCUCCAGUCCAUCUCUGUUGCCUUCCCCGGGAUGCCGUGGAGGCCGGGAACCGUCCCCAGGAGUGGGGACGUGGUCAGGAGGGUGGGGUCAGGCAGCCCUGUGCAGGCAGACAGCUCACAGUGCUCGGGGCCUGGAGGCGGGGGCGUUCUCUGCUUGCCCUCUUCCAGCUCUAGACAUGAGAAAACCCACAAAGAACAGAAUUGGAAGGGAUCUUUGACACACGUGAUUCCAACAUCCCCUUUUACAGUUAGGAAACUGAGGCACAAGAUCCUGGUUCUUGGGGUUGGGCCUUGGACCCAGCACUGGGUCUUUGCACAGCCUCCUCAGGACUGAUCCACACUUUGUUCUCUUCCCCACCAACCCCAUCACUUCCCGUUAGGUGCCACUUACUGCUUUCACCUACCGAGACAGAGAGAGGGAAAAGUGUGACCUCUGACCUCUAGGAGCUAGGAACCCAGUGUUGGGAGGGGAGCUGCGGAGGAGGAGACAAAGGAGGCACAAUGAGGUGGACCCUACGGGGUUGGGAGGAGCUUGGAAGGCAGUUCAGAAAGGACACGUAGGAGAAGGCAGGGUGGGACUGUGGGACAGCAGGCCGGGCGCAUCCAGCGGCGUUUGCAAAGCCGGAGAAGUGGCCAAGCUCAGUGGCUGUGGCCAGAUGCCAUUUGUGGCAGUUGAUGAGAAUCUUGUGACUAUUUUAACCGAUGUGUUAAACUUCACUCUCCCCCUGUCAGUCUCCUUGUCACCUUGGAGAAUGUUAUUAGUCAAGGUUCUCCAGAGAAACAGAACCAACAGAAUGUACACACAUGCACACACAUACACAUGCACACACACACACAUACACACGCACACACACACACACACAAACAGGGAUUUAUUGUAAAGAACUGGCUCCUGGAAUAACUGAAUUGAUAAGUCCCAAGAUUUUCAGUCAGCAAGCUGGAGACCCAGAAGAGGCUACUAGGGACUAGACAUGUCCCCCCAAAAUUCAUAUGGUGGACCCCAACCUCCAAUGUGAUGGUCUUAGGAGGUGGGGUGUUUUGAAGGUGAUUAGGUCAGGAGGGUGGAGCGCUAAUGAACGAAAUUAGUGCCCUUAUAAGAAGAGACAGGGCAGCUCUCUCUCUCUGAUCUCUGUCACAUUAGGACGUAGAGAGAGGAAGGCCAGCAGUAAGUGGGCCCUCACCAAAAUCAAAUUGGCAGCACCGUGGUGCUGGACUUCCAGCCUCCUGAAUGGUGGGAAAUGAAUAUUUGAUGCUUAAGCCACACAGUCUACAGCAGCCCGAGCUUAGACAGAGCGGACGUUUCAGUUCAAGUCCAAAGGCAGGAAAAAGCUAGACAUUCAGCUCAAAGGCUGGCAGGCAAGAGGAAUUCUAUCUUACUCAGGGGACGGGACCCCCUUUGUCCUAUUCAGGCUGUCAACUGAUUGGAUGAGGCCCACCCAUAUUAGGGAGGGGAAACUGCUUUACCUGGCCCACUGAUUCCAAUGUGAGUCUCAUCCCCAAGCCCCUCACAGAAACACCCAGAGUGAUGUCUGGUCAAAUAUCUGGGCGCUGUGGCCCCGCCAAGUUGACACUGAAAUUAACCCUCGCAGAGGCCGCCUCUUUAUCACGGGACACAUGCUUGGAGCCCCUCUUCUGGAACUUUCUCUAAGCGAGUGACAGUAUGGGGCAGAUGGGUGUCAUUGCUCUGUGGUCACUUGAUGGGUGACCUGGGUUGGCCCUGUGUACCUACCCACUGGGCUUGGCUCAGAAUGGCAUCCUGCUGUUUCCACAAGUCAGCUGGCUCUCCAGGGUCAGGAUGGAACCUGCUGAGGAGAUCACAGAUGGCCCUGACUCCACACGCUGCCCCAGAGGGCCCCAAGGCAGGCAUCUGAGCCAGCCCCGGCUGCAGAGGUUGACUCAGGAAAGCACCAGGGAAAGUUGGUUGUUAAUAUCCCAGUCCAAUUUUUUUUGACUGGGCCUAAAGGCAGGGACUUCCUUCUAUAAAAUCUGGGAGCUGAGUGCAGGGCAGGCCUGACAAGGCGUGAGGAGCUGCCUGUGGACUUCGGCUCUCCCAGUGAGUCCAGGAGCUGCCCUGGGCCCUGGCGGCCCCUCCUCAUCCCCACCUCUCUGCUGCACCACUAUGGCCUCAAGGUCCCUGCACUGCCUCAUAAAGCUGUCCCCAAGUCAGGCUCCUGUGAGCGCGCCGGGCAUCAGAACUCUGGCUGGUGGACCCACAGAGGCCCGGGGUAAUAGCCAUGAGAAGAACAGGCCACCACGCUCAGACUGGGAAGCACCCAGCCUGCGGGAUGGCCAGAGACACUCAUCCAGGGCCAUGAGAGUGUGAAUCAGUCGAGUACAAUAUGCAUAACCAGUGUGGCCAGAACCGGUGCUUUGAGGUGUCUAACUCCUGGUGUCCUACCAUCCCAACACUGUUGAUUAAUGGCGAAAGAUGGGGCAUUGGGGAGGUCUGUGUCUAUGCUUGGUGGCACCUAAGAAAGAGCAAGGCAUUUAUCUGCAUGGAUUGAGAUAGACAGGUCUCUAAAAUAAACAAGGCAAAGAACGCAAGAGGCUGAACCAAAGUAUGAUCCAUUUGGGGCUUAACAAAUAGAUAGUAUAGGCAGCGCGGUGGCUCACGCCUGUAAUCCCAGCACCUUGGGAGGCUGAGGUGGGCAGAUCACCUGAGGUUGGGAGUUCCAGACCAGCCUGAGCAAUAUGGUGAAACCCUGUCUUUACUAAAAAUACAAAAAUUAGCUGGGCAUGGUGGUGCACGCCUGUAAUCCCAGCUACUCAGGAGGCUGAGGCGGGAGAAUCGCUUGAACCCGGGAGGUGGAGGUUGCAGUGAGCUGAGAUCAUGCCACUGCACUCCAGCCUGGGUGACAGAGGGAGACCCUGUCUCAAAAAAAAAAAAAAAAAAUAGAUGGGGUAGAUGCUUUUGGAAGAAUAUGCAGUCACUGCUCACACCAGCAUGGAACAAGUGGACUGGGGUUACUGCCUGGCGAGUCUCUUUCAGGUCCCUGAAUGCAGUUAACUCAGCGAGUCCUGAGUUCCCCAGGAGGUGGGCAUUCCCAUCUUACCCACGUUGCAGAUGAAGACACUGAGGUGCAUAGAUGACUUACUUUCAGAAAAUGUCAACAGGGUGCUCUGCAGAGGGGCAUGGGCUUUUAUGCCUUUAUUAUGCUUUUCUGUAUUAAAAGAAAAAUACAGUCAUGUGAUUUUAGAAACUCAACCCAUGGAAGAGAGAAUACUGGGUCUGUAGGAAAUCUGCAAAGUGGGAAAGAUACUUCUGGGCUUGGUGGUGGCACCUUGGAGCCUGCUUACGGAAAUCACCUCUCGUUCCCGUGAUGCUGAAAGCAGAAUGCUGGACAUGGAAGAACCGCGGUACUCGAGCUUCGUCUGCUGCCCCACACCCCACUGGCUGUUGCAAGAGUGACGUUGCCAUUGGUGACUGCAGGUCUCCCAGCAGCCUGGUGCAGAGAGGCCACUUCAGGCUCGAACAGAGGCCCGGGUUUCCACGGGAGACAGCAGAGCCACGGUGUAGCAGGCAUCCAGCUCUCCCCCGAUCAGUUCCGUGACUUGUCGGAAGGCCCUCCCUCCCGGUCAGACGAAGAAAGGACUGGUGGCCUCUGGGGAUCCUGAGCCUGUCUCCAUGGGAACCAGCUCACCCACCCCCUCUCUGGCACCAGAACAUUCUUCCAGAGCUUCACUGGAGCCUUCCUCUUCAGCAUGACCGUCCCUGGCCACCUGAUCCAGAGCUGGCGGCUCCCAGGCAUAGCCCAUCCCUGCUGCGGCUCUGCACUGCCCCAGUCCUCACCUGCAUGCAGGGGACUAUUCACAUGCUGACCGUCUGUCCAUCUCCCGUAAGAACGUCGGCUCCUUCCACGUCUGCUGGGCGUGGAGGAUCCCUCACAGCCUCCCCGACCUCAGAGCCAUGAGAGACUUGCAAAGCUUGAAACAAACUCUGAAAGGACUCUUCACAGAUAAAUUCCUCCAGGUGCAUGUUUCAAACAAUUUUAUUAUCUAACCCAAGAGUAAGUUAGCAAUCGAUUUCCUAAUCUUUAUUGAUUGGCAGUGGGCAGGCUAGUGUGAUUAAAGAUGUGAGAGAGACUUGCCAAAUAAAAUGCAUGAGCAGCCUUCAUGAGCUUAGCUCCAAUGUGCAGAGUGAUAGGGUCAGGGAAGUGUGUGUAUGUGUGCAUGAUUGUGUGAGAUCAGGGUAGUGUGUGUGUGUGUGUGUGUGUGUGACAUCAGGGCAGUGGGUGUGUGAGAGAGAUCAGGGCAGUGUGUAUGUGUAUGUGUGAGAUCAGGGCAGUGUGCGUGUGUGUGUGUGUGUGACAUCAGGGCAGUGUGUCUGUGUGCAUGAGUGUGUGAGAUCAGGGCAGUGUGUGUGCAUGAGUGUGAUAUCAGGGCAGUAUGUGUGUGUCUGUGUGUGUGUGUAUGAUAUCAGGGCAGUGUGUGUGUGUCUGUGUGUGAGGUUAGGGCAGUGUGUGUUUGUGUGCAUGAGUGUGUGAGAUCAGGACAGUAUGUGAGAGAGAGAGAUCAGGGCAAAGGGCAGUGUUUGUGUGAGAUUAGGGCAGAGUGUGUGUGUGUGUGUAUGAGAUCAGGGCAGUGUGUGUGUGUGUGCAUGAGUGUGUGAGAUCAGGGUAGUGUGUGUGUGUGACAUCAGGGCAGUGUUUGUGUGUUUGUGUGAGAUCAGGGCAGUGUGUGUGUGUGCACGAGUGUGUGAGAUCACGGAAGUGUGUGUGUCAGGUCACCACAGUGUAUGUGCGGGUAUGCGUGUGUGUGUGCACAGGGAACACACGGACAGCCAUUCCAAGUACACACUCUCCUUGGGUAAAUCUGUGAGUAAUCAUUGCUCCAGCAGUGAGAGCCCGUGAGGGUGGUGCAGGAAGACUGUGGCCUGCCUCCUGAGGGAAGCAUUAAAAAAACAGUCAAAGGAAAACGAACUCAGCUCUCCCAGGGUGGAGGACGUGGAGGUGGGCAGCCAGGGAACAAAUCUGGUUGCUGCGAGCCUGUCAGAAAGGGCCCUAGUGCCCUGCCAGGAGGAAGGACUCUGGGCCAUGAGCAUGAUGGUCUUUGAAGGCCAGGAGAGCUAGCCUACCCCAGCUCUGCCACUAACUGUGCGACUCACGGUCACAUGAUGAUACCUCCUGGGCCCCAUAUACUUUAUCUGCAAAUGGGAAGAAGCACAGCCUCUGUGUCCACAGUGCUGUUGAGGUUGGAUCGGGGCUAACUGGCAAUCAGACAUGUGUCUAUAAAUGCCGGCGAGCCAGGCAGAGCCCAGGCCUGAGAGUCCACCAGGGUGGCAGGCCUUAAUCCGCGCUGCACAGAUCUGU